AGCUGUUACAACUCUUUUAGAAUUAUUUUUUCUAGCAGAUCCUCUGUCUUUGGUCAGAGAACCCAA
rnacentral:snRNA from 1 species